ensembl:lncRNA
ACGUCGGUAGCGCGUUGCGUAAGGCACCAUCCUGACGAGCACUAGCACAUGCUUUAUUGAUUAGACACUGCCUGAGCCCGGCACACACGUUGGCUAAGUGCAGCUCCACAAAGACCAGCCCCACGCCAAUGAAAGGGGCCACCGAAGCAUUAAAAUCCCACGGUUGCUGUAAAGGAAGCAGCCCCAGGACAUAAAAUUCUGGAUGCUACAGCACAUGGCAAAUGCCCAACUGCACCUAUACCAAGAAAGUCACUGUGUAAUUAUGAGAACUGGGCAUAACCUUUGUGCGGUUUAAAAAGUACUGAACAUGCCAAGAAGCAACAACGGAUUGUCUUCAGGAAACAGUAUAAAUGAGUGGUGAAGGCACUCCUGACAUCAUGGCGUGGGUGUAAGGAGGAGAGCAAAGCAGAAUUUGGGGAAUCCUUUCCACUAUUAGAGGGAAUUUCUCCAAGCUGUAUCUUUUUACCAGGUGCUGAUGGCUGCAGCAGAGAGCCCGGAGCUGAGCAGAAAAUGCGAACGGGUCAUUGCAUCAACAGCUGGAAAAAGGCAGUGGCUGUGAACAUGGUUUCAGAGGCAGUGGAAGGAAGCUGGGAUCGCUUCACUGACCAGCCGGAACAUCCAGCCAGUACAUUAACUGCCCUGCUGCCCUGAUCUGAUGUGGUUUUACAGACAAUAGCUACUGGCUAUUUAGGCAAUGUAUAAAUUAGCAUAUUCUGCACAAACGAGGAGCAUAUUUAAA